rnacentral:misc_RNA from 1 species
CUAUGGUGGUAGAGCUAGUCUUGAUUCUAUUGCCGAGUCAUGGAGGACUUCUCAUUCUGAGUUGCCCCAGAAAGAUGGGAACUUAUGGAUUUUAAAAGAUUUUCAGCAGUGGGUGCAGGAAAUGCCUUUUAGUGAAAAAGUUUCUUGGGCAGUAGGAGGGAUGGUUCUCACUGCGGGGUUGUUGUUUUUGAGCAAAAGAAAAAGUUAUAGCCAGCGCCAGAGGCUAGCAGCUAUUCAGCGAACAGCAAAGAUGCUGGAAGGCAACAUGGACAAGAAAUAUCCUGAUAAUCAAGGGAAUAGGAAAGGAAAUCGAAGAUGAAUGCCUUGUUGAAU